rnacentral:rRNA from 1 species
GGUGCGAGUACAGCGGCGAACGGGUGAGUAACGCGUAAGAAAUCUACCUCUAAGUCGGGGACAACCUUGCUAACGCGGGGCUAAUACCGGAUGUGGAUUGCUUUACUCAUGUUUUGCAAUCUAAAGAUGACCUCUACUUGUAAGUUGUUGCCUAGAGAUGAUCUUGCGGACCAUUAGUUUGUUGGUGGGGGGUAACGGCCUACCAAGACGAUGAUGGUUAGCCGGCCUGAGAGGGUGAGCGGCCACAUUGGGACUGAGAUACGGCCCAGACUCCUACGGGAGGCAGCAGUAGGGAAUUUUGCGCAAUGGACGAAAGUCUGACGCAGCAACGCCGCGUGAGGGAUGAAAGUCUUCGGAUUGUAAACCUCUGUUGAGUAGGACGAAAAGCCAGUCGGUUAAUAUCCGGCAGGUCUGACGGUACUGCUCGAGGAAGCCCCGGCUAAAUACGUGCCAGCAGCCGUGGUAAUACGUAUGGGGCAAGCGUUGUUCGGAAUCACUGGGCGUAAAGGGAGCGCAUGCGGAAAGGUAAGUUAGAGGUGUAGUCUUCGGGCUCAACCCGGAGUUUGCCUUUAAUACUGCUUUACUUGAGUAUUGGAGAGGAAGACGGAAUUCCAGGUGUAGCGGUGGAAUGCGUAGAUAUCUGGAAGAACACCAGUAGCGAAGGCGGUUUUCUGGCCAAAUACUGACGCUGAGGCUCGAAAGCGUGGGGAGCGAACAGGAUUAGAUACCCUGGUAGUCCACGCCGUAAACGAUGGACACUAGAUGUUGGGGGCUUAUGCCUUCAGUGUCGUAGCUAACGCGUUAAGUGUCCCGCCUGGGGAGUACGCUCGCAAGGGUGAAACUCAAAGGAAUUGACGGGGGCCCGCACAAGCGGUGGAGCAUGUGCUUUAAUUCGAUGCAACGCGAAGAACCUUACCUGGACUUGACAUGUGAGUGUAACAUUUUAGAGAUAGAAUGCCUUCCUUCGGGAACACUCAACACAGGUGCUGCAUGGUUGUCGUCAGCUCGUGUCGUGAGAUGUUGGGUUAAGUCCCGCAACGAGCGCAACCCUCGUCCUUAGUUGCCAUCAGGUAAUGCUGGGAACUCUAAGGAGACUGCCUGGUAUAACCAGGAGGAAGGUGGGGAUGACGUCAAAUCCUCAUGGCCCUUACGUCCAGGGCUAGACACGUGCUACAAUGGCCGGUACAGAAGGAUGCUAAGUCGCGAGGCUGAGCUAAUCCAUGAAAACCGGUCUCAGUUCGGAUAGGAGUCUGCAAUUCGACUCCUUGAAGUUGGAAUCGCUAGUAAUCGCGGAUCAGCAUGCCGCGGUGAUAUGUUCCCGGGCCUUGUACACACCGCCCGUCAAGCCACGAAAGAUGGCAGUGCCCAAAGUCGUUUCUCUAACCUUCGGGAGGAGAGCGCCUAAGGUAAGGCUG